UUGAGGGUACAAUACUUAGAUCAUCAGGGCAUGUUACUUGUGAAUUUCACCCUCUCAAAAAAAUUUCUCCAUCAUCUUAAUCGUUCACUCAAUCACUCAAUUUCUCACAACAAUGGCUCACAAGGUUACUCAGUUGAUCAAUUGAGAAAUCUCAAAUAGGAUCAUUGGAAUACAUACAUCACUAAAGAUGAUUUCAAGUUCAUAUUAGAAAAUGGCUUAAAUGGGGUUAGAAUUCCCAUGGUGUGGUGGAUAGCCCAAGACCCUGAAGUAAUCGUGUUUCAAGUUUGCAAGGAGAAGAUUGGAGGCUCUCAUAUACUCUGUUAUUUAUCUGAAGGUUCUGCAUUGUCUUUAUCUCUCAAUUAAUGUUGAAUAAUCUAUGUUUUUAUUAUCAACUGAGCCCUUCUUAGAUUUCAAGACUUAUAUCUCGUGAACCAGAGCUAACACAAGACAGAUAUCUUGUUUUCAAGAUGGAGUGCAAAAAGGUGGAAGAUGGUUAUUACUUAUUAGGUAUACUCAAUGUAAAACUUUGUCACAUAAGGAAGAAUAUUACAUCUAUAAGGACC